CAGGUCCGGGUGGAGGGUCACAGCAGACGCUCCUACACGUGUUAACACUCCGAAACGUCGGCUGACAUGGAAAUGAAAUGAUCUGUGACUCAGACUCCAACUGUACAGGCUUUAGGCGCAAGAGUUCGACUCCUGAAGUUGCUUUAAAACCCCGGGGGAGGAAAUGAAUUAACGGACCCGAGUUUUUAGUUUUAGAUUUUUAAAAAAAGACUGGUGAUUUGAAUCAUAGACUUUCAACUUCUCCUUUUUCUCCUUCUCCACCGCUGGGUGUUCACUCCCUAUGAAACAGAGCGACUUUCUACCCCGGAAAGUUUAAAGCGUAAAGAAGUUUGGAGCGAGAAUUUGAUACUCCAUGAGUAGUAUUGAGGACAUUGGUUUAAUAUGAGCGAGAAAGAAGCCUUAGGAGACACUACACUAAACGGAGAUAAAGCGAAGGCGGACUCUGAGAACAAUGUUAAGCAAGAGGCGGGUGACUCGGAGAAGCCUCCCGGCGAUCAGUGCGAGUUUGGCGGCCACGAAGGGCAGCGACCCACCCGGCUGUACAAGCGGCGCUGGCUGAUCGUCCUCCUGUUCAGCUCCUAUUCACUGUGCAACUCCUUCCAAUGGAUCCAGUACGGCAUCAUCAACAACAUCUUCAUGCACUUUUACAACGUGGACGCCUUCACCAUAGACUGGAUGUCUAUGAUCUACAUGCUGACAUACAUUCCCUUCAUCUUCCCGGUCACCUGGCUGCUGGACAAAAAGGGGCUCCGGGUCAUCGCGUUAGUGGCCACCGCGCUGAACUGUGCGGGGACGUGGAUCAAGGUGGCCAGCGUCAGACCCAACCUGUUUGCGGUCACCUUUCUGGGACAGUUCUGUUGCUCCUUUGCGCAGGUGUUCAUCCUCGGGAUGCCGUCGAGGAUCGCGUCAGUUUGGUUUGGUUCGGGGGAAGUGUCCACCGCCUGCUCCAUCGGAGUCUUCGGUAAUCAGUUGGGCAUUGCCAUUGGGUUCCUGGUGCCUCCUAUACUGGUGCCCAAUGUGGAGGACAUGGACGAACUGGCUAGCCACAUCAAAGUUAUGUUCUACAUGACAGCAGGAGUGGCCACCUUACUCUUCAUCCUCGUCAUCUUUGUCUUCCAGGAGCGUCCUGAACUUCCUCCGACUCAGGCCCAGGCCACAGCUCGUCUUAUCCCACCAGAGCAGUACUCUUACACAGCCUCCAUCCUCAGGCUGCUCCGCAACAAGCCCUUCAUCCUCCUCAUCAUCACUUACGGUCUGAACGUGGGUUGCUUCUAUGCUGUUGGCACUCUGCUGAACCGUAUGAUCAUCGUGCAUUACCCUGGAGAAGAGGUGAAUGCUGGGAGGAUUGGACUCACCAUAGUCAUUGCAGGGAUGGUCGGCUCUCUCAUCUGUGGGAUCUGGUUGGACAAAACUAAAACCUACAAGCAGACAACCCUGGCGGUCUACUUCAUGUCCCUGGUGGGGAUGAUAGUUUAUGCUGCUACACUCAAUCUGGGACACCUAUGGGUGGUCUUCAUCACCGCUGGAGCUCUUGGGUUUUUCAUGACCGGCUAUCUUCCCCUGGGCUUUGAGUUUGCAGUCGAGCUGACGUACCCAGAGUCAGAGGGAACUUCAUCCGGACUUCUCAAUUGUUCAGCACAGGUGUUUGGCAUUAUUUUCACCAUCUGCCAAGGGAAAAUCAUCGACGGCUUCGGCACAUUGGCAGGAAACAUCUUCCUUUGUGUCUUCCUUUUAAUCGGAACUAUAAUGACAGGAUUGAUAAAGUCUGACCUGCGAAGACAGAAUGCAAACAUGUUGGCCAAAGCAGCUGCGGAGGGGCAGAUGUCGGGACAAGACUAUGGAGCCACAGCACUAAUCUCCACGCCGCAGACUCCUCCUUCUCAAGCCUGAUCAAUAAACCUUUCUGCUUCUACAAAAAUCAAAUCAAAUCUUUGCUCAACACGCCGAUACACAAAGGAAACCUCGGACUGUCCCAAUGAGAGCCUGGUGGAACCUCCUGUUAUCAGAGAAGCCAAGUUAUAAACCGCACACACUGACAUACAAGCCUUGAAAAUGUCCUCAAGCUCUUUCCUGUUACCGUAUAACAUAUGCAGAUAGAACAACCCAAUCAGGAAGUCGUUAGAUUCACUUUCCUUCGAAGAAGAGUUAGAUGUACAUUGUUGUAAUAACUAUUUAUAAAAAAUGAAAUCUAAAAAAACGAAAUAAAUCGGAUGUGUGAUGCACAAUGUUGAGCGUUAUGUGACUGUAUAGAAAUAUUUUUAUAAGAGAUUAUAACUGAGUAAAUACUCUCACUAACUUUACAAGACUAAUUUUGGAAACAUUUGUUUGUGACUCAGCAACCUGUCAGUAUUUUCUGUUUGAUUAUGUAUAAGGAGGUGCACAUGUUGUCAUGCAACACUAUGUUUGUCGUUACACGGUUAACCAUGUAAACAGUGUCAGCAUUUUUAGAAGAUUUGAUUAAUACAGCAUAUGAAGGAAUUUCUGAUCCAUUGCAGUCCACAGAAAAUGAUCAAAUAUCGAUGACACACAGUUGUGUAUUUUAUUUGUAACAGCCUUCAUGUUUACCUAUUUAACAUGGAAUAAAACUUGUUUUUUUCUAAAGUUA